UUUCUGCGUUCCCCUUGUGCUUCUGGAUAAAGUUUCAGUGAAGAAGAUGGCUUCCUCAUUGUGUCAAUCCUCCAGAGUCUCCACAUCGCUGCCUGGUGUACUCAUUUCCUGCAUUAUUCUUUGUAUUUGCAAGGUGGAAUCAGCCCUGUUUACAGUUGUUGGACCUGAUCAGCCAAUCACUGCCAUUGUGGGGGAAGAGAUCGUAUUGCCAUGCCACCUGUCCCCCAGCAAGAGCACUAGGAACAUGGAAGUGGGUGGUUCUGGUCUGAGUUCACAAAUUAUGUUCAUCUGCACCAUGAUGGGAAAGAUCAGUUUGGACGACAGUUGCCAGAAUACAAGAGAAGGACAGCGUUUUGGAAGGAUGGCAUCACAGAUGGAAAUGUUUCCCUGACAAUUCUCAGUAUCAGGCCUUCAGAUGAAGGGCAAUACCACUGCCUUGUUGGUGAUGGUAUUACUUAUGAAGAAGCUGUAAUAGAACUGAAGGUAGCAGGUUUAGGCUCUAAUCCUAUCAUCUCUGUGGAGGAUUACCAGAAUGGAGGGAUCCUGGUGAUGUGUCGAUCAGCUGGGUGGUACCCAGAGCCCCAAGUGCUGUGGAGAAAUUCUCAGCGGCAUCAUAUACAAUCACUCUCUGAAAUAAAAUCCCCAAAGGAAAAUGGCCUGUUUGAAACAAAAAUUUCUGCUGUCAUGAAGGAAGAUUCAAACCAGAACUUGUCCUGUUGCAUCAGGAACAGCCUCCUCGACCGAGAGAAGGAAUCAGCAAUUCAUAUAUCAGGUCAGUUCCAUCCAAACCCUCCAGUGAACCGCCUCCGCUAGAAACCAAGUGAAAUAUGGGGUAAACACACAUUAGUGAAUUUUUAAUGGAUAUUUUCACAGCAUCUAUCUACCGGUAUUGAUUUAUUUGUGAACUCUUUAAGGCUUUUUACUGCACUGAAUCAUUGUUCAUUAUUUGUCAUAAAAAAAUGAAAACUAAGUUGUGAG